rnacentral:rRNA from 1 species
GAUGAACGCUGGCGGCGUGCCUAAUACAUGCAAGUCGAGCGAACAGACGAGGAGCUUGCUCCUCUGACGUUAGCGGCGGACGGGUGAGUAACACGUGGAUAACCUACCUAUAAGACUGGGAUAACUUCGGGAAACCGGAGCUAAUACCGGAUAACAUGUUGAACCGCAUGGUUCAACAGUGAAAGACGGUUUUGCUGUCACUUAUAGAUGGAUCCGCGCCGCAUUAGCUAGUUGGUAAGGUAACGGCUUACCAAGGCAACGAUGCGUAGCCGACCUGAGAGGGUGAUCGGCCACACUGGAACUGAGACACGGUCCAGACUCCUACGGGAGGCAGCAGUAGGGAAUCUUCCGCAAUGGGCGAAAGCCUGACGGAGCAACGCCGCGUGAGUGAAGAAGGUCUUCGGAUCGUAAAACUCUGUUAUUAGGGAACAACAAAUGUGUAAGUAACUAUGCACGUCUUGACGGUACCUAAUCAGAAAGCCACGGCUAACUACGUG